rnacentral:lncRNA from 1 species
AUGCCAAGAAGCACUUGACUGAGAGAAUUCAGAAGUUGGUUGACAAAAUGCAAGAACAAAUUAAGAUUACAAGACAAAUUGAGGAUGAUAUACGUCUUUUAUACAUACUGAUUUGAUACUUGCACUUGUAACCAAACAGAUUUUUAGAUACAUACAUGACAAAAUGCACUUAUAUACAUGCAUUUUUUGUUAUCUGCGUGGACUUAUAUGGACUAGCACUUACUAUUUCUUUGCAGACAACUGGAUCAGGUUUCCUUUAGAAGUUAUUGAUUUUGAAAAUUCUAGUCUUGAUAUGGAUGUCUAUAUUAGUGAAUAUAUGUACAAUAAGACAGAUAAACUCUCAUUAAAUUGAAAUUAUUUCAACCUGUUCGGUUACAGAGUCGCUUAAUAGCCUAAUUGUUAGUAAAACUUGAUAGUUGUUACCAUAUAACUUAUUCUCUGGUUUUUUUGUAUACCUAAUUGUUAGUAAAUACUUGAUAGUUGUUACCAUAUAACUCUCAUUGAAUUGUAAUUAUUUCACCCUGUUCGGUUACAGAGUCGCUUAAUAGCCUAAGUUAGAAUCCUUAACAUCACAAAGCAUUCAUUUCUUAACUCUAUCCUAGAAUUAUAAACCAUCACUUGGAAGGCUUUGACUUAGUGACUUUUAUCAAAUUGCAUUAGUCACUAAGGAUGGUACAGUUUAGAAAUAUCGAACUUUAGAAUUUUAGUUGAUGCCUAUACUUUUACAAGUUAGUUAUGUAUGCUAUUGAGGUCUUCAAAAUAAGCUGUGUUCCAGUCUUGGAUAAUGGAAUUGAAAGUCUAACUUUGCAAUGUCAUAUUACAAUAUAUAAACAUGAUGGUACGUAAGGAAGGAAAUCUGUGGAUAACAUUGUAAUACUCUUGUAAAGUUGUAAACAGGUUGCUAAUGUUCAAGGUACUGUUGAAAAUAUACAUGCUGACUUGAGCGUCGUGCAACGUGCAAUGGCAAUAUUGGUAUGUUUGAAUUCAUGAUCUGGCUUAUCAAUUUUAAUGUGGACAUCUUGUUUUGAGCUAUUAAGAAGGAUAUCUUGAAGUUUGGCAUGAUUUUUAAUUAUCAUUAGAAGUGGUCUCGGAGCAUACCUGGUUUACACCAAAAUUAUUAAUAAUAAUAAUUAUCAUUUGAAUGACGAUAUAUGUCGUUCUUACAAAAUAAAUAUUAUGUAUUAUAGAAUGUAAACAACAAAGAGAGACUUUAAAAUAAAGAAAAACAGAAGGAGAAAACGAAAACUAAGGUUUUCUGUAAAUCAGAAUCAUGAUAUCCGUUAACAACAGUGGUGUAGAUACAUUUAUUUAGAAUACAUGGAAACUUCUAGAAACAAUAACUGUAUCUGUGAUCAGAUACUGCUCAUAGUACUAAGUGUAUACUCCUAACAACUAGUUUGCAUAGAAAUAUGAAUAUACAAUAUGCUACCUAUCUAAUUUGAAUCAUUCUUAUGUUGUACAUACCUUCGUAGACUGAAAGGGUGAAUACAGUGAUUGAGAAUCAGGU